AGUGAACGCUGGCGGUAGGCCUAACACAUGCAAGUCGAACGGCAGCACAGUAAGAGCUUGCUCUUACGGGUGGCGAGUGGCGGACGGGUGAGGAAUACAUCGGAAUCUACUUUUUCGUGGGGGAUAACGUAGGGAAACUUACGCUAAUACCGCAUACGACCUACGGGUGAAAGCAGUGGAUCUUCGGACCUUGCGCGAUUGAAUGAGCCGAUGUCGGAUUAGCUAGUUGGCGGGGUAAAGGCCCACCAAGGCGACGAUCCGUAGCUGGUGUGAGAGGAUGAUACGCCACACUGGAACUGAGACACGGUCAAGACUCCUACGGGAGGCAGCAGUGGGGAAUAUUGGACAAUGGGCGCAAGCCUGAUCCAGCCAUACCGCGUGGGUGAAGAAGGCCUUCGGGUUGUAAAGCCCUUUUGUUGGGAAAGAAAAGCAGCAGGUUAAUACCCCGCUGUUCUGACGGUACCCAAAGAAUAAGCACCGGCUAACUUCGUG
rnacentral:rRNA from 1 species